rnacentral:tRNA from 1 species
UCUCGUAGUGUAGCGGUUAACACGCCUGCCUGUCACGCAGGAGAUCGCGGGUUCGAUUCCCGUCGCAGAG